CAGCUAUUGCAGUGGGGUAGAUCACAACCAAGUCCUUGAUCACAGGCUGCAGAGAGGAAGGAGAUGUCAGGGUGCCAAUUUACAAAUGAUGAAUAACAUUCUACACUUCCACAUGAGGGCUGGGUGUGUUGUCACAGUCUCCUAAAGCUGACACAGGGGCACACGAGCCCAGAUGCAUCCCAUCUAAGUCACGGAAUUUAUCUGAGGCAUCUAAACUAGGAGCUUACUUAACGUUGCCCUCAUGUCUAAUUAGAGAGUAUGAGCACAUCUGGAAGAUGCUGUCACUCAAGAAGGACAUGUGAUCUUCUAAAACUGCAACAAUCCUGACCCCCAAAGCUUGAUUUGAUGCAUCUCAUACAAAUCCACCCCAUGGAUCUGACAACUGCCUGCGAUUCUUUCUAAUUGAAGCAGAGAUCAUUGAAAAGUCUCAGAAGACAAAACUUACCUGAAUUAAGAUGUCAGAUAUCCUAGCAUUUGGGAAUUAUGCCAGUGGUAAUAGAGGUAUGUAGAUAUUUUUUGCUAAG
rnacentral:lncRNA from 1 species